rnacentral:rRNA from 1 species
UAGUCCUAGCCCUAAACGAUGAGUACUAGGUAAUGGGUCUUAGAUUCAGUGCCGACGCUAACGCAUUAAGUACUCCGCCUGGGGACUACGGCCGCAAGGUUGAAACUCAAAGGAAUUGACGGGGGCCCGCACAAGCGGUGGAGCAUGUGGUUUAAUUCGAUGCAACGCGGAGAACCUUACCUGGGCUUGACAUCCCCGGACAACCUAGGAAACUAGGUCUUCAGGGCAAUCUGACUGGGUGACAGGUGGUGCAUGGCUGUCGUCAGCUCGUGUCGUGAGAUGUUGGGUUAAGUCCCGCAACGAGCGCAACCCUCGUGGUUAGUUACUAACGGUUCGGCCGAGGACUCUAGCCAGACUGCCCGUUUUACGCGGGAGGAAGGUGGGGAUGACGUCAAGUCAUCAUGCCCCUUACGUCCAGGGGCUGCACACGUACUACAAUGGUGCAUACAAAGGGGCAGCAACGCCGCGAGGCUUAGCAAAUCCCAAAAAA